UUCGAACGGUAACAGGGAAGCAGCUUGCUGCUUCGCUGACGAGUGGCGGACGGGUGAGUAAUGUCUGGGAAACUGCCUGAUGGAGGGGGAUAACUACUGGAAACGGUAGCUAAUACCGCAUAACGUCGCAAGACCAAAGAGGGGGACCUUCGGGCCUCUUGCCAUCGGAUGUGCCCAGAUGGGAUUAGCUAGUAGGUGGGGUAACGGCUCACCUAGGCGACGAUCCCUAGCUGGUCUGAGAGGAUGACCAGCCACACUGGAACUGAGACACGGUCCAGACUCCUACGGGAGGCAGCAGUGGGGAAUAUUGCACAAUGGGCGCAAGCCUGAUGCAGCCAUGCCGCGUGUAUGAAGAAGGCCUUCGGGUUGUAAAGUACUUUCAGCGGGGAGGAAGGCGAUAAGGUUAAUAACCUUGUCGAUUGACGUUACCCGCAGAAGAAGCACCGGCUAACUCCGUGCCAGCAGCCGCGGUAAUACGGAGGGUGCAAGCGUUAAUCGGAAUUACUGGGCGUAAAGCGCACGCAGGCGGUCUGUCAAGUCGGAUGUGAAAUCCCCGGGCUCAACCUGGGAACUGCAUUCGAAACUGGCAGGCUAGAGUCUUGUACAGGGGGGUAGAAUUCCAGGUGUAGCGGUGAAAUGCCUACAGAUCUGGAGGAAUACCAGUGGCGA
rnacentral:rRNA from 1 species